ACGGCCACGUCGGGAGAGACCGGCUUUAGGCAGCCGGCGCCGAAGGAGCAACCGCCCCGGAAACUCUCAGGCAAAAGGACCGCGUGGCUUU
rfam:Bradyrhizobium japonicum TSDA 110 DNA, complete genome.